rnacentral:rRNA from 1 species
CUCCUGGAUCAACCGCGACGGACGGGUGGUAAUACCUGGGAGUCUACCUGGUAGUGGGGAUAACGUCCGGAAACGGGCGCUAAUACCGCAUACGUCCUGAGGGAGAAAGUGGGGGAUCCUCGGACCUCACGCUAUCAGAUGAGCCAGGUCGGAUUAGCUAGUUGCGGGGUAAAAGGCCUACCACCGGGCACGAUCCGUAACUGGUCUGAGAGGAUGAUCAGUCACACUGAACUGAGACACGGUCCAGACUCCUGGGAGGCAGCAGUGGGGAAUAUUGGACAAUGGGCGAAAGCCUGAUCCAGCCAUGCCGCGUGUGAAGAAGGUCUUCGGAUUGUAAAGCACUUUAAAGUUGGGAGGAAGGCAGUAACGUAAUACCUUGCUUCUUGGCACAACAGCUAACUUCGUGCCAGCAGCCGCGGCAAUACGAAGGUGCAAGCGUUAAUCGGAAUUACUGAGGCGUAAAGCGCGCGUAGGUGGUUCAGCAAGUUGAUGUGAAAUCCCCGGCUCAACCUGGGAACUGCAUCCAAAAACUACUGAGCUAGAGUACGGUAGAGGGUGGUGGAAUUCCUGAGUAGCGGUGAAAGUGCGUAGAUAUAGGAACACCAGUGGCGAAGGCGACCUGGACCACCGACACUACUGAGGUGCGAAAGCGGGGAGCAACAGGAUGAUACCCUGGUAGUCCCACGCCAUGUCGAUAAAUAGCCGUUGGGAUCCUUGAGAUCUUAGUGGCGCAGCUAACGCGCGAUAAGUCGACCGCCUGGGAGUACGGCCGCAAGGUUCAAAUGAAUUGACUGGGGUACAAGCGGCAGGUGGAGCAUGGUUUAAUUCGAAGCAACGCGAAGAACCUUAUCUGGCUGAGAACUUUCCAGAUGGAUUGGUGCCUUCGGGAACUCAGACACAGGUGCUGCAUGGCUGUCGUCAGCUCGUGUCGGCCGAGAUUUGGGUUCAGUCCCGUAACGAGCGCAACCCUUGUCCUUGCCAGCACCUCGGGUGGGCACUCUAAGGAGACCGCCGGUAUACGCCGGAGGAAGGUGGGGAUGACGUCAAGUCAUUGGCCCUUACGGCGUAGAGCUACACGUGCUACAAUGGUCGGUACAAAGGUUGCCAAGCCGCGAGGUGGAGCUAAUCCAUAAACCGAUCGUAGUCCGGAUCGCAGUCUGCAACUCGACUGCGGAAGUCGAAUCGCUAGUAAUCGUGAAUCAGAAUGUCACGGUGAAUACGUUCCCGGGCCUGCACACCGCCCGUCACACCAUGGGAGUGGGUUGCUCCAGGAAUAGCUAGUCCCUAACCACCGAGGACAGACCUGUCACCAUGGAGAUUCCGGCCUUCGAGGGGCGAAGGCCAACAAGGCAGCCGUAGGGGAACCUGCGGCUG